UGGGGAAUCUUGCGCAAUGGGCGAAAGCCUGACGCAGCCAUGCCGCGUGGAUGAUGAAGGUCUUAGGAUUGUAAAAUCCUUUCAGCGGGGACGAUAAUGACGGUACCCGCAGAAGAAGCCCCGGCUAACUUCGUGCCAGCAGCCGCGGUAAUACGAAGGGGGCUAGCGUUGCUCGGAAUUACUGGGCGUAAAGGGCGCGUAGGCGGACAGUUCAGUCGGGGGUGAAAGCCCGGGGCUCAACCUCGGAAUUGCCUUCGAUACUGGCUGUCUUGAGUAUGAGAGAGGUGUGCGGAACUCCGAGUGUAGAGGUGAAAUUCGUAGAUAUUCGGAAGAACACCAGUGGCGAAGGCGACACACUGGCUCAUUACUGACGCUGAGGCGCGAAAGCGUGGGGAGCAAA
rnacentral:rRNA from 1 species